rnacentral:rRNA from 1 species
GAUGAACGCUGGCGGCGUGCCUAAUACAUGCCAGUCGAGCGAACAGACGAGGAGCUUGCUCCUCUGACGUUAGCGGCGGACGGGUGAGUAACACGUGGAUAACCUACCUAUAAGACUGGGAUAACUUCGGGAAACCGGAGCUAAUACCGGAUAAUAUAUUGAACCGCAUGGUUCAAUAGUGAAAGACGGUUUUGCUGUCACUUAUAGAUGGAUCCGCGCCGCAUUAGCUAGUUGGUAAGGUAACGGCUUACCAAGGCAACGAUGCGUAGCCGACCUGAGAGGGGGAUCGGCCACCCGGGAACUGAAAAAGGGGCCAGACUCCUACGGGAGGCAGCGGUAGGGAAUCUUCCGCAAUGGGCGAAAGCCUGACGGAGCAACGCCGGGGGAGUGAUGAAGGCUUUCGGAUCGUAAACCUCUGUUAUUAGGGAAAAAAAAAUGGGUAAGUAACUAUGCCCGUCUGGACGGUACCAAAGCAGAAAGCCCGGGCUAACUACGG